rnacentral:rRNA from 1 species
UACAGAGGGUGCGAGCGUUAAUCGGAAUUACUGGGCGUAAAGGGCGCGUAGGUGGUUUAUUAAGAUGGAUGUGAAAUCCCUGGGCUUAACCCCGGAAUUGCACCUCAAACUAUAUGGCUAGAGCAUUGGAGAGGGUAGCGGAAUUCACGGUGUAGCAGUGAAAUGCGUAGAUAUCGUGAGGAACACCAGAGGCGAAGGCGGCUACCUGGACAAUUGCUGACGCUCAGGCACGAAAGCGUGGGGAGCAAAAGGG